rnacentral:tRNA from 1 species
GAGGGUAUAGCUCCAUGGUAGAGUGUGUGCUUAGCAUGUAUGAGGUCCCGGGUUCAAUCCCCAAGUACCCCCA